GACGAAACAUGGGAGACCUACUUCCGUCGCGAACACAGGUUUAUUAUCACAUCUUUUGAAGAAAGGGGGCCCUUUCUGGCUAAGAGGUCUGACAGGCCGGCUCGUGACCAGUGAGGUCGGGCGUUCGAAUCCAGCCCUCGCGUCAGACAAGUUUGGAAAGGCAAAGUGGUUUGGCACGCGAUAAAGCUACGACCUGACGCAGCUCCCGUUCAGUCCAAACUCCGUUGGUUACCCUUUACGAUUCGUGACGACAUAUCUAAUGAACUGAGACGUCUGAAGGACGCGGAUGUCAUCGAGCUGACAUGUCAUCCCGUACAACCUUGACCGGCGGUUACUCCCAAACCGAGCGCUGGUACUCGUAAAAGCAGGCAUCCGCCAGUGUGGGCAAAAGACUUUGUGGUGGACAUAAAGAAUUGAACGUUGAAACUGAAAGAAGCUGAGGUUGUUAGGAAUGCUUGGAUCAGAUUGUAGUGAACACUAUAGGAUGUUCUGUUGGUUUAAAAUGUAUUGGUAAGACGUUUUGUCAUUGUUUAAAUCGACGUUUAGGAACAGAGUUCGAUUUCGUUCAUUAGUCAGUUAUUCAUUGUGAUUCGUAUUUAGUUUUAAGUCGUGGAUGCUAACAUAUAUUUAGUUGUUGUAUCUUUUUAAACGAGAGGGGAAAUGUGGCAUCCACUAUUCAAGGGGAAUAAUUCUACCUAUAUUCAGUGGCGCUGUUAUAUAUCACGUGAUUGUAGGGGCGCUGCCUCCAUGUUGUUGAUACAGAAUACACGUCGUGUCUCUCUCCUACUUUAUGGCGUUGUUCUCUACAUCGAGAACUUAAAAUUACGUACACAGUGUAUGCGGAUAAAGAGUCAUAUCUGAGAGAAUUUUGGUAUUUAAAAAUGAAAGCUUCUAUGAUUUAAACAGGUUGAACACAGUCUUUGAAGUUGUA